CAAAAUACCCAGAAGAAGAAUUUGCUUCUGACCUCAAAGCUUGGGAAUCAGUUCAGCCCUGCACACUCUAUCAAGCACCAUCACAAUUAAGACAUAAGCUGCAAAAGGCAUAUGGUUCAUUAUUUAUGUCCAAGUAGAACCACUGAGAGCUUCACAAACAUACAGACAGACAAUAGAGCCCAAUAUUUUUGUAUAUGGAUGAAAUAUUCUUUCAUGAAUUGAAUUUCAGUCAGUCUGGCCUAUUUUUGAACCAUUUACUGUAAAUUUUAUGGCUUCAAGUACUUCUGCUUAAAGAACUCAAAAACGGCUGUAAUUUUUUUAAUAAUAUUUGCAGUCAAUUGUUCCCAAAAGGAAAUGAAUUAGUUUUCCCCACUUGGAAAAUAUAUAAAACUAGAUUGGGCUCCUUCAUUUAUAAAAGCAGAUAUAAUUCAUGCUUUAAGUUUUACUUACAGAUUAGGUAUGGAACUAUUGAAGGUUCCUUGAACCAAGUCAUGGCCUUUUAAGACAUCAUCUCUGGCACAGUUGGUCCUAAUGAAUUCAUAAAAAUCAGUGCUGUUUAAAGCUAUUAAUGCUUUAAAAUGAUCCUGACAAUAUUCUUCCUCCUCAAUGCUUCAUUAGUACUGUUGUAUCUUCAUGUGCCAGUGGUCAUCACACCUUAUCCCUAAGCCCUGACACAUAAGAAAUUCUUAGUAAGAGAAUUCAGAGCUUGUAAUAAGAUAUCUUAGAUAAAUUUAAGAUAUUGAUUAGUGAAGUUCAUCACUUCUCACUUAGCAUUGCAUGGGUUUUCUACCUAGCCUCUUUUAUUAUCAUUUUUCUUCCAUCACUUAACAUAGAUUUAAAAUGCAUUUGUUGUCUUGCCUGUAAUCAAAAUGCUUAUGUCUAUUUGGAACCUGCUAUUAGAUAUACUAAUCUCCAUAUGGAAGAUCAAAACAUCAUUAACAGAAUAUGGCUAAAGGGUUUCUUUCAUGAGUUUCCUCUGGAUUACCCCUCCAGAGACUGAAACCUUCAUCUUUACCAAAGGAAGAGGUUGCUUCCUUUGCAUUAUGUUUACAUAGAACACCUGUGUUCAUACCUGACUUUAAAGGGUGUGUUUACCACCUCUCUCACAAAGGGAUUUUGUCUGGCUCCAUACAGGGAUGAAUCCUCUCCCUCAGGGAAACACAACUGCAUAGGAAGGGAGGGAGCAUCCCUGGCCCCUUCCCCAAAGUCAAUUACAAGGACACAGAGAGCAUUUGCCCUGCCCGACCACAUAGACACAGAUGUUCAGGUCAGCUUUGGUGUUCAGAGACAAGUAGAAUGGCAGGAGAAUGCAGAAAAUAAAAAGUUCUCCAUGCCAGUUCAUCAUAGCAUCCUGACUAACGUUUUGCGUGUUUUGAUCCUAUUGUGCAGUAUUUGUAGUGCAUAAAGAAGACACUGUCCACCUGAGUCUAAGCGUUGUUAUAGAGUACCCUCAUUUAACUCAAUGUAAAUGAAUUAAGGAUUUAGAAGGUCCAUUUUAUAUUGUGUUAGUUUAUAAUAUAGGAAGUGAAAAUGUUAAUUUUCAACCUCAUAAACAUUUUAGGGAACAAUCUAUCAAGUGCAAGCUGGCAAAUUGUUUGUCUCAGCAUGUGAGGGCAAUGAGUUUAUCUCAGCAUCAGUGAUUGAACUGGUGGUUUGGGACUGAUUAUUCUGGGCAAUCCAGUUGCAGAUUUAAAUGAAAUAAAUAAUUCGUGAAUUAGGGAGAGGGAGCAACAUCAAUGAUGCAAUUCCCUACAGCAAAAAAUGAGUUAACACAGAGGCAGUGAACUUACCCUCGACUUACUUUACUGGCCUACACAAUGGCAGAAAAAACACUAAUAAAGCCUAGGUGACUGCUGUAUUUUGAAAUAAACUCCAAAAUAACUAUUAAGAUAUGUGACAUGAAAGUUAGGUUUCUUGUUCAAGCAGAAAUAAAACACAAGUCCUUUUUACAUUCCCAUCAACAAGAUUUGUGUUUUGAAGUGUGGCAAAACUCACUUGCCCAAGUUAUUAGUGAAUGAGAACAUCCUUGACAAUGGGAUUAAAAUAUGCAAAAGGCAGUGAUAAGGAAGAAGACAUGUUAAUUAAUGGUAUAUAUUCCUCAGAAUAUAUUGCUUUUCUACAUCAACAUUAUAAAUAUUUGAAUAACCUCUUGAGGCAAUCAUCCGGAGACUGUUUGUAGAAGCAGUAACCUAAAAAAAAAAAAAAAAAUCUGAAUAAAUGGCUGUAUUAAGUGGAGUGGGAAUGUGUAAUUGUAAGCCAAAGGUCAGUAAAGCUAAAUACAGUGCAUUGUUCAAUCCUUCUCUUGUUUUUUACCAAAAUUUGUAUCAUUAUUCCACAGUGAUUGUUUAUGCUAGGAGAUUAAAGUACAGUUGAUCUCCUCUUCCUUGCAACAUUCGAUUUGAGAUUUUAAAUGACAAAAUGCAGUUAGCUAUUAGAUUGAAUUACAUCGUAAGGGGUAUUAGUUAAGUCAAAGCUCACUUCCAUGGCGUCAGUUAUUUCCUUCAUAUUAACAUAAUGCAUGCAACUUUUUCCUUACAAAUGUCAAAGGGUUAAAUUAUGUUUAUACAUAAAGUGUCACCUCUGAUACUCAGACAGUAGGGGCUGUGAGUUUGAAUUACAGAAGAGGGUGCUAUGCAGCAAGGCCAAAAAUAAUGCCCAGCUGGUCACAUGAGUUUGGUGAAACUCGGGAUGGGAGGUGGGGCAGGAAAGAAAAAGGGAGCAAAUAGAAAGAGAGCAAGAGAAUGUGAGUCUGUGUGUCUGUAUCUGCGCAUGUGUGCCUCCUCUGUGUGUGUGUUGAUCAGUUAGCUUGUUUGUUUCACCUGAAAAAUGAAGACCCAUGUGACUGUCUUGCUUCUCAUCAUCCCCACUCUUCACAAAAACACUCAUUUUUGGUCAGAUUUCACUGAACUUGACAGACAGAAGAGGUCUUAAAGAGAUGAAGCUCCCAUACAUUUAAUAUGUUUGACACCAAAGAAAAUAAUUGUAACCCUAAUACUGACAUCACCAGUUUUAGGGAGAAAAGUAAGGAAAACAUCCAUAUCCAUUUUGUCCAGCAGCUGCCUGCUGGCCAGUGUGACUGGUCAUAGUAGGAUCUCACCACAACCAGUGCUGCCCCUCACUUGGUUGCCAUACCAAGGAGGAGGAAGGAAGUGCCACAUGAAGGGAGUUCUGUGUGCUACACUGGGUAAACGGAUGCCCAUAUUACUGUGGUGAUCAUCUCAUGUGAGCCAUGCAAAAGCUGAGAUGGGAGAGAGUGUAAGGGGUACAGGGUCAUUGUGCCCUCUCUCCUGCAAACACUUUUUCAUCCCUCUUUUUUUAAUACAGUAUCAAUUUUGCUCUACCACAUUUUUUCUUUUAUAAACUCUAACUAUGAAGAAAGAGAGGGUAUGUGGAAAAAAUCCAUUGAAUUCAUGGGCUAUGAAGAUGAGCAACAGGAACAGACAGGAGGGUAUAAGAAAUUGCUUUCCAGGUGUUGCAGGCAGGAAACUGUAAAUGUAUGGCCACAGCCCUGGGGAAGGGAAGGAGGAAGGGUGGAACAACUUGGCACAGCAGUCCAGAGGAUUAAGCAGCUCCCUUGCCAGUGCCAGAGUAACGGCACAUGAGGACAGAGCAGGUGAAAAGGCAAAGGCAGCAUCUUGUGCAACACAUUAUGAAAAAACUCUAGAUGCUGUUGAAUAGAAGUUGCAGCAGAGACUUCCCCCUCUCGAGCGAGACUCAGAUCUCUUCCACUGGAGCACAAUGGAGCAAUCUGCCUCCAAGAACUGUCAUAGGAAAUCUGGUAAUCCUAUUGCAGAUAACCCUCAACUGCUGUUACUGCUAUUUCCAUUCACACUUGGGAACCAUCCAGCAAAGUGACACGUGCUGAAGAAAAGCUUAGCAGCAGUUGUUUGCCAGCCUUGGAAACCAAAGAGACUCUUGAUCAUUACAAAGGGAUUGUUUUGCCUUUCUUUAUCUUCUGCUGGAGAACCAAUGAUUUGAAAAGACCAAGACUUGCUUCAGUACUCUGAAGAGCUAGGAUGCUGUUUGUGACUGCAGUGAGACAGCUGCACAUUUCACCUACACAAGACUGGUGUGCAGACAAUGCAGGUGAUUUAAGCAGAAGCCUCACAUGAGAGCAAAAAGGGAAAAAUAUUGUCCCCUAUGAUGUUGGGCAACCACCGUCUCUUGUUGAUCUGUCAGAUGAUAAAACCGGUGUGGCCUUCGCAGUACGAGAGAUGUUCCAUCUUCUGUCAGUCCUCAUCACUACACAGCAGAAAUUACUACAGAAAAGACAGCAUGGAGAAGCUGCCAAUACCAUCACCACCACCUUCCCCCAGGGUCUGUUAAGUGACCUUCAGGUCUGCCCAGAUAUGCCUACGUGAAGAAACAACGUUUCAUCCUGCUUUGUGGCCUCUUCUAGCUGGUUGCACCUGAAUUCAGUCUUCCCUUCUCCUUCCCUUGACGUGUCACACCAGCACCUAAGGCUUCUGGAUUUCGGUGGAGCAGUGAUUGCAGGUGAUGGGAAUCUGCACUAUCAGACAGUUUCUCUUCAGGACAAACCUGUUAGGCAGCGUUCUUUCUUUAUCAGCAUGCAGUAAGGAACAACUUCAUGGCUGAGACAUGCCCUGGGACACUGUGGAAGACUGCUUUAGCUACGCCUGUGGCAUCAUAUGUGGGAGAAGGGAGACAUUUGUACAAAUGUUUAGGAAAAUUCCCCUCUGAAAGAUGCAGGAAAACUCGUGCUAUAUAGAGCAACUUCUGAAUUUCACUCUCUUUUGCGAAACAGCAAUAGUGGAAAAUCAUCUGUGAAAAGUGAUUUGCUGUAGCAUCAACUUCCUUUGUAUUUUUGUAGCAGGAAGCAAGUACAGCAGACUACAGAGUUCAUACAUGUCAAUGCACCUUCUAUUUCAAAUGUCAUGUUUGAAUGCCUCAGGCCUAAUUGUGGAUUCAGAUGUCAUAAACCGUGGGGAAUGUUGACUGAAGGUCUCAUGGCAAAGGAGGAUAGGGGCAUUGUGUUUUAAGUUGCCUCAGGCAUAUGGGACAAAGACUUCCUUGUUUCAAGCAGAGUAAACUCAUCAGGUCCACAUUGUUUCAAAUUGGGUUUUACUCUGGAAUCAGAAAUGGUUAGAACAAGUGAAAACACAAAAAGACAAGUGAUGUACAAGCCAAUGGGGGAAAAUUGCAUUAAAUACAAAAACAAACCAAGAAAAAAUAUUUUAUUUUAUUAUUCUUCUUUCAUACUCAUCUAUAUAUGUGGUGAUCGUUGUCAUUACCGCUUUGUAAAGAAAGACUGAAUUUUAUCACUACAUAAUUAGGGGUUAGAUUUUGCUUUUCUGGGUGGAAGGGUUUGUUCUUUGGUUUUCUGAGGUUGGUUUUUUUUUUUCUUUGUGGACAGAAGAAAACAAAGCUGAAGGAAUAGCGUAACAUGACUGCUUGCAUAUUUCUUUUUUAAAUGAAGGAAUAUAAAGGCUCAAACAAACUGAAUUCUGCCAUGGAAAAUAGAAAGUGUUUCACAUUGUUCAUUCAUGAAUAUUUCUGCUGCAAUUAAGAAGGUAAUGCUACAGAUGACUUAGUUUUCAAAAUUAAUAAAUUUCAGCUCUGCUAAACACUUUAUUUCAAAACGUGCAAAAUACCAACCAGAAGCUUUUAGUAACUUCAGUUGUAAAUGUCCCAAAACACUGAAGGCUUUGUGACAUUUACCACAUGGGGCAGGGAUCUAGUGUCCCAAACUUUGUGCUCUGUGUAGCAGCAUGCCACUUGGCUCGUGCAGUUCCCAAGAUUCAGUCCACGCUCAGCAGCCCCUCUGGUGCAGACUCAGCAUUUCUCCCGGUUAGGCAUUGCCUGCCCUCUUUGCAUCAGUUUUCAGGGAUGGACUGAGAUUUUGGCAGGGAGUGUUUGAAGGGAAACAUCUGGCCAUAACAAUCCAAUCAAAAAGAGAGUCCUGCUUGUUGCUUGGGACAAAUAUGUGCGAUAC